rnacentral:rRNA from 1 species
UGGCGAAGGCGGCCCCCUGGACAAAGACUGACGCUCAGGUGCGAAAGCGUGGGGAGCAAACAGGAUUAGAUACCCUGGUAGUCCACGCCGUAAACGAUGUCUACUUGGAGGUUGUGCCCUUGAGGCGUGGCUUCCGGAGCUAACGCGUUAAGUAGACCGCCUGGGGAGUACGGCCGCAAGGUUAAAACUCAAAUGAAUUGACGGGGGCCCGCACAAGCGGUGGAGCAUGUGGUUUAAUUCGAUGCAACGCGAAGAACCUUACCUGGUCUUGACAUCCACGGAAGUUUUCAGAGAUGAGAAUGUGCCUUCGGGAACCGUGAGACAGGUGCUGCAUGGCUGUCGUCAGCUCGUGUUGUGAAAUGUUGGGUUAAGUCCCGCAACGAGCGCAACCCUUAUCCUUUGUUGCCAGCGGUCCGGCCGGGAACUCAAAGGAGACUGCCAGUGAUAAACUGGAGGAAGGUGGGGAUGACGUCAAGUCAUCAUGGCCCUUACGACCAGGGCUACACACGUGCUACAAUGGCGCAUACAAAGAGAAGCGACCUCGCGAGAGCAAGCGGACCUCAUAAAGUGCGUCGUAGUCCGGAUUGGAGUCUGCAACUCGACUCCAUGAAGUCGGAAUCGCUAGUAAUCGUGGAUCAGAAUGCCACGGUGAAUACGUUCCCGGGCCUUGUACACACCGCCCGUCACACCAUGGGAGUGGGUUGCAAAAGAAGUAGGUAGCUUAACCUUCGGGAGGGCGCUUACCACUUUGUGAUUCAUGACUGGGGUGAAGUCGUAACAAGGUAACCGUAGGGGAACCUGCGGUUGGAUCACCUCCUUACCUUAAAGAAGC